UACCCAACAGCUAGCCCGAAACCCUAAAAUCAACAAACACUAUUAAUAACCCCAAAAUCACUGACAUUCAUUAAACAAACCAUUUUUCCUCCUUAGUAUAGGCGAUAGAAAAGGAUUUAGGAGCUAUAGAUAAAGUACCGCAAGGGAACGCUGAAAAAGAAAUGAAAUAAAUCAGUAAAGUAUAAAAAAGCAAAGACUAAUUCUUGUACCUUUUGCAUCAUGAUUUAGCUAGAAAAUGCAAGCAAAGAGCCCUUUAGUUUGAUACCCCGAAACUAAGUGAGCUACUUCAAGACAGCCUAGUAAUAGGGCAAACCCGUCUCUGUGGCAAAAGAGUGGGAAGAACUUUAAGUAGAGGUGACAGACCUACCGAACUUAGUUAUAGCUGGUUGCCUGUGAAUUGAAUAGAAGUUCAGCCUCCCAGCUUCUUUCUUCCCUUCACUUUAGUCAAUUCUGAUAAAAAGAAACCGAGAGAGUUAGUUAAAAGGGGUACAGCCCUUUUAAAACAAAUACAACUUUUAAAGGUGGGUAAAGAUCAUAAUUAAUAAGGUAAAAUGUUCUAGUGGGCCUAAAAGCAGCCACCUAUUUAGAAAGCGUUAAAGCUCAGACAUUAUUUUUUACCCCCAAUACCGAUAAAUUAUCUAAUCCCCCUAAAAUUACCAGGCCGCCUCAUGCCCCCAUGAGGGUGACCAUGCUAAUAUGAGUAAUAAGAGAGCAAGCCUCUCUCCCUGCACACAUGUAAUUCGGAACGAACACAUCACCGAUUAUUAACGGCCCCACAUAAAGAGGGCACUGAGUAAUAAAAUAAAAAACUAGAAAAUCAUUCAACAAUUAACCGUUAACCCUACACUGGAGUGCAAACAAGGAAAGACUAAAAGAAAAAGAAGGAACUCGGCAUACACAAGCCUCGCCUGUUUACCAAAAACAUCGCCUCUUGCAAAAUUAAAGAAUAAGAGGUCCCGCCUGCCCUGUGACAAUAGUUUAACGGCCGCGGUAUUUUGACCGUGCAAAGGUAGCGCAAUCACUUGUCUUUUAAAUGAAGACCUGUAUGAAUGGCAUAACGAGGGCUUAACUGUCUCCUUUUUCAAGUCAAUGAAAUUGAUCUCUCCGUGCAGAAGCGGAGAUAAUCUCAUAAGACGAGAAGACCCUAUGGAGCUUUAGACACAAGACAGAUCUUGUUAAAUCCCCUAAAUAAAGAAAAUAAACCAAAAGAACCCUGUCCUAAUGUCUUUGGUUGGGGCGACCGCGGGGUAACAAUUAACCCCCAUGUGGACUGAAAAAACUUUUUUCAAAAACAAGAGCUACAACUCUAAUUAACAGAAUAUCUGACCAUAAGAUCCGGCAAUGCCGAUCAACGGACCUAGUUACCCUAGGGAUAACAGCGCAAUCCUCUUUUAGAGCCCAUAUCGACAAGAGGGUUUACGACCUCGAUGUUGGAUCAGGACAUCCUAAUGGUGCAGCCGCUAUUAAGGGUUCGUUUGUUCAACGAUUAAAGUCCU
rnacentral:rRNA from 1 species